GGGUUUAAAGCGUGCGCAGGCGGUUCUGUAAGUCAGAUGUGAAAUCCCCGGGCUUAACCUGGGAACUGCGUUUGAAACUGCAGAGCUAGAGUGCGGCAGAGGGGGUGGAAUUCCAUGUGUAGCAGUGAAAUGCGUAGAGAUAUGGAAGAACAUCGAUGGCGAAGGCAACCCCCUGGGCUAGCACUGACGCUCAUGCACGAAAGCGUGGGGAGCAAACAGGAUUAGAUACCCUGGUAGUCCACGCCCUAAACUAUGUCAACUAGUUGUCGGGUCUUAAUAGACUUGGUAACGUAGCUAACGCGUGAAGUUGACCGCCUGGGGAGUACGUCGCAAGAUUAAACU
rnacentral:rRNA from 1 species